AAUGUGAAAAUAUAAUUGUUAUCUUCAUGAUUACAAUUGAAAGUUGCUCGUGCGUGGAAGAAUUUACAGUGACUGGGAUUCGAGUCAUUUUUUUCUCGUUCGACGCGUUUGUCGUCAGACUCGUCUCGAUCGUCCCGAGCAAAUUGACAAUAACUCGCAGCCGUUUGACAUCGCUUGACAUCAAAAUAAACCCGUCGACGUAAUAAAGCGAUCGCCGACAAUCAGGCCGAUUACGCCAAUGAACGUCCAAUGCGGAACGGUGCAUCAGCGGCGCGUUCCACCGAUUUCUUUCCAAUGAGACGCAUCCUCGAUGACGGUCGACGAUGAUUCGCUUUUGGCGCGCGUCGAUGCGCGGAGAUGGGAUCAGCUUGAUGUCGUUCGACUGAAGAAUCGAACGAUAACAGCCCGCGCGACUUCUCGCAACGGACGCUCGUUAAUGUGUUUUCCGCGACAUCAUGCUGAUUACAUAAGCGCCGUGCGUCGAUUGGCACGUCGAUCGUCACACGUUACACCGGUUAUGCGUUCUGGAAUGUGAUAGUCGCGAGAUUCCGCGAGUAACAGGUGCGACAGCGACGUUAAGAACAAACGGUUGAAGGACCAUGAGAAGCAUUAAAGCAGCGCGGCAGAAACGAUGCAAAAGUUUCUUCAAGAGGAGUGUCAGGCGGAACCUAACAUACUCAUGUCGAGGAAAUAGAAACUGUCCGAUCGACCAACAUCAUAGAAACCAGUGCCAGUUUUGCCGCUUGAAAAAGUGCCUGAAGAUGGGCAUGCGCCGGGAAGGUAUGCACUCUGUGCAGAGAGGGCGAGUGCCGCCAUCGCAACCCUCGCUGCCGGGUUUACCGGGCCAGUUCGCCCUGACGAACGGGGACGCGGUCGCGUGUGCCGGCCUAAACGGACACUCUUACCUCUCGUCGUACAUAAGCCUGCUGUUGAGGGCGGAGCCCUAUCCGACCUCGAGAUAUGGCCAGUGCAUGCAGCCCAACAACAUCAUGGGCAUCGACAAUAUCUGCGAACUCGCGGCGCGGCUGCUCUUCUCGGCGGUCGAGUGGGCCCGGAACAUUCCGUUCUUCCCGGAUCUUCAGGUGACGGAUCAAGUGGCUCUACUCAGGCUAGUGUGGAGCGAGCUGUUCGUCCUGAACGCGAGCCAAUGCUCGAUGCCCCUUCACGUGGCGCCGCUCCUAGCGGCGGCGGGCCUUCACGCCUCGCCGAUGGCGGCGGACCGCGUGGUCGCCUUCAUGGAUCACAUCAGGAUCUUCCAGGAGCAAGUGGAGAAACUCAAGGCGCUCCACGUCGACUCCGCGGAGUACAGCUGCCUCAAAGCCAUCGUCCUCUUCACCACCGAUGCCUGCGGCCUCUCGGACGUGGCGCACAUCGAGUCCCUCCAGGAAAAGUCACAGUGCGCCCUGGAAGAAUACUGCCGGACUCAGUAUCCGAAUCAACCGACGAGGUUCGGCAAGUUGCUGCUGCGACUGCCGUCGUUGCGCACGGUCUCGUCGCAGGUGAUCGAACAGCUCUUCUUCGUGCGGCUGGUAGGUAAAACGCCGAUCGAGACGCUCAUCAGGGACAUGCUGCUGAGCGGCAACAGCUUCAACUGGCCCUACAUAACCACGAUGUGACACUCUGUCUGGCGGCAGCUAGCUUCCGCAUAAUAUUACACGUCGAACAGCGGUGUCGCAGCGCCCGUCGACAAUCCGCGAGUCCGAUUCACGUACGAGUAGACGAGAGGAAUCGAGCGUGGCGAGGAUGGGCGAAGCCGCGAGUCUUGAAUACGCUCGGUACGAGGGCGAAGAGAACGGCGGAAUGUGGGACGCGACUCAGACCACGUUUGUCGCGAGGUCGAAGGUCGGCGUGUCGUUCUUGUCAACGUCGUCAUUAACCCGAUUACGUAUCCGCGUUGCUUUGGCGACAAUAUUCCUCGUCAUUGAUAUACUUGUACUCGUGUUCCGCUAGACCGGUACUCACGACGAAUUAGAAUAUCAGUCAGAACUUUUGUACUCUAAGUAGGCACGACUCGAUGUCACAGAGAGAAAAAGGACGCUUUGACGGAAGCAAAUGAAGGUGAGAAAGCUGAGAGAAUCGAGCGACGUCAUUAACGAAAUUCGACCGAGAGUAACAGGAUAAUGCAGCGAGUAAGGUGGACGAUGACGAGAGAUUAUCUUGUUCGUCGGACGAGAGGAAUUUUCGGUGACAUGCAGGAAAAGGUGAAAGAAAGAAAGAGAGGGAUAAAGAGAAAGAGGAAAAAAGCAACAAGAAAAAUAUGUAAUAAAGACGUUACGUUCAUUCAGAAAAUCGUGGAGGCGCCGAGUGGCCCGACAACGUCCAAGAACAUCCACUGGGCGUUAAAGCUUGGUACUCACUAAAAUGGUCGAGCGAAAGAGAGGGAGGGAUUUAUGCAUGUAAGGAGCUUGUCAGUUGUUCCAUGCGCGCGUAUGUGUGUGUGCAUGAGUGAAAGAGCGACAGAAAGCGAAUGAACAAGUAUGAAAGAGGGAGAGAGAGAGAGAGAGAGAUUGAAAGAGUUAUACGGGGGAAAGGGGGAGAGGGGGAUAGAUAGAUAGAUAAGCGUUUUGUUAUGCGGCGAAGAAUGAAAUAAAGAGAAGAUGGAAGGAAGAGGGAAGACGAGCGUGGCGUGAAGAAGUCAUAAAUUAGCAUUUAUAAUCAACGAUGAGGGGAGAGAGAGCUGGUGGAUCUCCCAUCGCUAUCUCGAAUCAAUCUUCGCGUCGAGUACUCGCUAUUAGUCGAGUCAUGCCAUGGGCCUUAGUCAUUCGUCUUGACGCCUCCUCUACGGGGCUGCGUUCUCCAAGUUCAUAGCCCGUGAAACAUUCUUUCGGAAAUAUUCCUUUCGGUCGGAUCCUUGACGCUCGCGCCUACAUGCACAUCGCAAAGCGACUAAAUCCCACGACGUCACGCUUUCGUCGAAUUCGUCCGUGAUCUUUGUGAAGAUUGUCGGUGGUAAGUUGUGAUUUUAUUUCGGCUUUAUUUUCGCAUAGCGGUCAAGUAUUCUAAUUCUUCGAUUACGAUGUAAAACUUUCUUAAAGCCACUGAAACAACUUUAAUCCGUGUAUAUUUUCGUAAAUUAUUUGUGUGUCAAUUGUCCCUCUUUCAGAUUAGUAUAAAAUGCUUACUAAAUCUGGAAAAUUACUUUUCGCGAAGAAGAUGAGAAGUAAAUCUUUCUAAAAUUAUUAAAUCUCUGCAUAAUCUUAAUUAAUACUUUAUAUAAUAAAACAAAGACACGAUAAUAUAUUUGAGCUCUAUUUAAUAUUAAGGAAAAUUGUCAUUAAUAAAUUGGCGAGAAUUUCCUGUUUUAAAGUAAGAUACUCUAAUCACUGUAUGUGAAAAUAAUUUAAACAAAUUCUAAUAAUUUUGUAUUAUGCAUUUUUCUUUUUUACUUCUCGUUCGUUUGCGAUUUUCUUAACUAUAUGUUGCGAUUUAAUCACUUUUGUUAAUCUGUUAUGUUGUUUACUAUAUUUUGUCAAAGUCGCUCGAACAUCUUGUCAAAUACGUUUUUUAUUUUGUUUUAUUUUUAAAGGUGAAUCAUCUGUAAAGGCUACGGUACAUGAUGUUAUCGAAAAGUUCGUCUAUUUAAAGAUAAAUAUAUUGUACAAAUUUUUAUGUAUAGUACUUAGAUAGAAGCUAAGAGAGUCGGGCAUCAUCGGCACACCUGGUAAUUUAGCGCGAGUCGACUUUACUGAUAUAAAAAGAAAUUGUUUAUUGUAAAAGUAGGAUGUAAAACGCAAAGCGCGUUGCAUUUUACGGCGUGAAGUCACGAAGGAAACUUAUGAGAUCGCGCGAGAUAAAUUGGUCUCCUUCGCGUUCGUUCGCGCGGUGGUAUUUGUAACAGAAUGACGUUUUUAGCGUUUAAUACGAUCGCGCUUACUUGUAUUAGAAUUACGGCGGCGUUUUCAAUGUCUCAUCUAACGCGACGACGAUCGACGUUCUCGAGGAGAGAGUCUCGAGGAAGAAAAGCAGCAACGACGAAGCCCCACACGUGACGUUCAACUUGGAUGACAAUACCGCGCGAUAUCAUAUAUACAGCCAAUAUUAUGUAUCUUGUAAAUACGAUAUUUUUACCUUGGGUUACUUAAGAGUGUACGUGACGAGACCAUUCGAGAGUACGAUCCAACGUCUCUUUUGUAUGCCAGUGCCAUUGCGUGUCACAUCAUCGCAUCACGAUUAAUUCUACGGCAAUCACAAAAUCGAUCGAUAGAAUACUCGGGACACAGCUGACUCGAGAUGAUAAGUCCGACACGAGAUAUCCGGAAGAAACGCUGCGGUAAGGUAAGUCGUUAUCUUGUUGCAUUGACAAGAGAACCUCGUAAAAUCCGGAAAUUCGAACUUUUAUUUGCGUAUAUGUAAACGGAAUAAAGAGAUGAAUUAAAAAAGUUUUAAUUGAUAUCCGAAGAAACAAUUAUAAGAGGUAAAAUCAUUCUUCAUAUGCACAAAGCGAUAUACCUUAAAAGCUAUUCGAGAUGAUUUGAGAAUAUGAGAAAAUUCUCAGAAUUAGUGCUACAUAUAGUGAUUUUUUCUUACCAAUUAAAAAUUUGAGAAUUUAUUUAUUUUACAUAAGCAAAAGGUUCAUUCAAAUUAGAAUUUCCUGAUCCGCGAGAUUCUUUUGUGAGAUGCUUAAAUAAAGUGAAUUUUUGAAUUUUUGAUUGUACGAAAUACACCAAAUUUCUGUGUUAUUUCUCAUAAUAAUACAAUUUCAUGUUAUUGGAUACUAUUUCUGAUUAUCAGUGAGAAAUAGAACUAGAAAUAUCAAUGGGAUGAUUUCAGUGAUUUGUUUAAUUGUACAAACAAUUUUUGACUCGUUACAUCCCGGUAUGUAAUAAUACACUACUAAAUGCAAAUAUGUAUCAGAAAUAUACAAUGGAAAUGCAACAAUGUUUACGGAUAACUACUGGAAUCAAAGUUUGAUAAUAUAAAUUAUUAAAUGCAUUGAUGAUUUUAUAUUAUUUAUUUUAUUAAAUGAUAUAUUUUUUAUUAGUUAUUUUUAAUUAAUGUAACAGUUUUUUUACGUUUUGACUUUCUCUUAAUAAAUCCAUUAUAGUUUGCGAAUUUUUAAUGUUUUAAAGCAAAAUUAAUAUAAUAUGGUUAAUACAAUGUAUCAAAUAUUAAAAAAAUUUUUUUCUUAAAAUAUAUUUUAUGAGUCUUGUUAACUAAUUUAUUUAGCAAGACUAAUAAGUAGCAAACAAAAAAGCAAUUCUGGAUCUUUGACUUGAAGAAUAUUUUAAUUUCGGAUGUAACGAGUCAAGAUUGAUUUAUAGGGUAUAUUGAGAUAUAUUUUUGAUUAAAAUAUGAAAAAUAUUCAAUAUUCUUGUCACUGGGUCUCCGACAGAUAAGAAUACAGUAAUUGCGAAUUGAUUAUGCACACGCAAAAUGUGUGUGUGUGUGUGUGUGUGUGUGUGUGUGUGUGUGUGUGUGUGUGUGUGUGUGUGUGUGUGUGUGUGUGUGUGUGUGUGUGUGUGUUUAUGCGUACAGAAAAAUUUGGAGAGAAAAAGAAAGCGAGCACGAGAGUGAGCGAGAGAGCGAGAUCGCAAAAUAAUGUGAUAAUACGUAUGUCAAAAUUGAAAUCCGAUUUUUCGAAACGGUGCUUUUUCUAUCUUAUAAAUAUUGUACAAAUAUAUUGUAUACACAACAACAGCACAACGGACUCGGCGCGUUGUACAGGGUUGUUUAAUGAUAUUAAGAGAAGAUAUUUGAAUACUACGUUAUAGUAAAUGUGGCAAUGUCGAGCUAGUUACUUAGUGGAGCACUUUUUUAGGGGUAUAUGGGAUAUUUCUAAUAUGUUUAAGCAGCGGUCGUUCCUUAAAGGAAAUUCUGCGAUUGAGUUACCUCGAACGGGAUCCAACUGAUUAUACUUUGGCUGGACUGCUCGUGAAUAUGAGUCCCGCAUUAUCAGAACUAGUGUAUUUUUUUUCAAUUUUUGCAAAAUAGAUACAUGAUUUCUCGCGGAUAUGCUGUUUCUCUUUGUCUCAAGUUUUAUCAUGAAAUUUUUAGGUAUACGUAAAUAAAAUAUCACUUUAUCUCUUUAUCCUUAAUUUAUGAACAAUCUAUGAAAUAAAUUGAUUAAAUUAUAUUUAUAAAUUAUAUGCCAUUUUUUCUUCUAAAAAUAAGAGGCUUAUUACAUGCGAUAAGGAAGCAUCGGAUCAGGAAAACGUCAAUCACUACCAUACAUCGAGUACUUAAACGCUUAAAGGAGUGAUAAUUUCUGUACAUUCUAUGUUUGUCUAUUUCAUCUUCGCUCGUUUAGCAACUUCGGAAAGUGAUAGUGAUUGCCAGAAUGUGGAAGGAAUCGACAAUGAUCAGCUAAACCACAGCUAUUGGAUGGAACAGUGUUAUUUCUCUCAUUUCAGGAAACGAAAGAAAAAACUUAAGUAAAAAUAAUCUAAUAUUGUAAUUGUACUGUAAAAUAAGUUUUGUGUUUCUAUACAUAUGUAAGGAUAAGAUACAAAACUUAAUAUUAUUCAUUCUAAUUGUUAAAAUUAUAAAGAAAAUUGGCAGUUUUACUUUUUAUGUAGAAUUUAUAAUUUAUUUUAUAUUGUAAUGUAGUUUUAUACAUAUAUAUUUCUGUGUACAAAAAGAGUCUAAUGUUACAUGUUGCUCCUAGCGUUUAUUUAAAAUCUAGUACAUGCGAUGGACAUUGAUUUUUAAUACUUUUCACUGUUCCAUCCAAAAACUGAAAUAUAAUGAUCUAACGUAUAUAAGGUCUAACGUAUGCAUCUCUGUCGAUAGAUUUUCAUAGCGUUCCCGCGAUGUGGAUCCUUCUCGAGGUGCUCGCACGAUGAUACGAUUGCUCACGAAACUCAAAAAUGUAUUAUACCGAUAAACGAAUACGUGUGUAGGUACGUCAGGGCGCGAGAGAGUGACGUUCUUAUACCUAGUUAUGUAUAAAGUCGUGAAAACUUUUGUAUAAAAGACGUGUAAAUAAUUAAUAUAUAAAUAUAAAUAAAGAAUAUAAAUAUGAAUGCAUAUAAAUAUAUAAAUAUGAAAAUAUAUGAACAUAUAUAUAAAUGAAUUGCAAAGAAAAAUAUAAAUAUAUAUAUAAAUAUAUAUAUAAAAUGGAUCUAUAUAUUGUAUCGUAGCGUCGUGUAGAACAUCGCUGCGACGAAUAAUAAAAGCAUUAUUGAUGAUGAUGUAACCAGUUUCGAGUGCAUAACGACGAUAUGUACGGAGUUGUAGAUGUAACGCGACUGGUCUUUUUUGCAGAUGUUAUAAUAAGAAAAUAUCACGUUACAAAGUAUAA
rnacentral:lncRNA from 1 species